UACGUAGGGGGCAAGCGUUGUCCGGAAUCAUUGGGCGUAAAGAGCGUGUAGGCGGCCCGGUAAGUCCGCUGUGAAAGUCGGGGGCUCAACCCUCGAAAGCCGGUGGAUACUGUCGGGCUAGAGUGCGGGAGAGGCGAGUGGAAUUCCUGGUGUAGCGGUGAAAUGCGUAGAUAUCGGGAGGAACACCUGUGGCGAAAGCGGCUCACUGGACCAUAACUGACGCUGAUGCACGAAAGCUGGGGGAGCAAACAGG
rnacentral:rRNA from 1 species